ensembl:lncRNA
AUGAGACUGAAGAUGACUGGGGACAUGAAAAGAGCCCUACUGCUGCUGUUGCUGAUCAUCUCUGUGCUGAACCUCUCAGCUGCUUUUCCUAUGGAGCCACUUCAAAAGACCCCUGUACUGAUCCAACCAUCAGAUCCACAGCCGUCAGAAAGUGUAACACUAGGAAACUCCCAGGACAUGAGGGUCAGCAGUCUUGGAUUUCGUCUGAAAAGAGCCAGUUCUGUUAACACAAAGAAACCGGCCCGUUACUGUGCUGGAUGCUUCUCUGUCAUUGGAGACCCAACGAGACCAGAGAAAUUAAAUCUGCUGUAUCUGCUGAAUGUAUAACCCUAAAUAUGAAGUUUCUGUUGGAAAUCUGUUUAUGCAACUAUAUUUUAGUAUACUAUUCUAGACUGUCACUUCUUAAAAUGUUGCAAGACCGCACUUUUUUUUUUUUUAAAUUAAAUAUUCAAAAAACAUUCAGUGUAAGUGCAGGACUGUUUUUUUCUUUAAAAAUAUGGUUAUGUAUUUGUCCUAGACAUGUCAGUCACCUAUUGACUUUUGUUAUAGCUUUGAGCUUUUUUUUUUCAUGCAUGCAGUAAACUUGCUAUUUGAAGAUUUCCUAAACAAAGAAAUGAUAGUUCAGAACGAUAACAUGGAUUUGAAGUAAUGUCUAAGUGGCUGUUUCAUAGACGUGUCAUUAUAACCACAAGGUGUUAUUAUCGUGUUAAGGAGCUUCAGUUUUGACCAUAGUCAAUUAUUCGUAUUUCCCACUCUAUCAUUUCUGGCUUUGCUACCCGUGGGAGUAAAAUAGGAUAUAGGCACAUAGGAUCAGAAUAUGGAAUCAUAGAGGCUAGUCUUCAUAUAUAAAAUCUUAGCUAAAUGCUCAAUAAAAAUGUAUAUUUUAUGAGUGCA